rnacentral:rRNA from 1 species
AGAGUUUGAUCAUGGCUCAGGAUGAACGCUGGCGGCGUGCUAAUACAUGCAAGUCGAGCGAACGGAUAAGGAGCUUGCUCCUUUGAAGUUAGCGGCGGACGGGUGAGUAACACGUGGGUAACCUACCUAUAAGACUGGAAUAACUUCGGGAAACCGGAGCUAAUGCCGGAUAACAUUUGGAACCGCAUGGUUCUAAAGUAAAAGAUGGUUUUGCUAUCACUUAUAGAUGGACCCGCGCCGUAUUAGCUAGUUGGUAAGGUAACGGCUUACCAAGGCAACGAUACGUAGCCGACCUGAGAGGGUGAUCGGCCACACUGGAACUGAGACACGGUCCAGACCCCUACGGGAGGCAGCAGUAGGGAAUCUUCCACAAUGGACGCAAGUCUGAUGGAGCAACGCCGCGUGAGUGAAGAAGGUUUUCGGAUCGUAAAGCUCUGUUGUUGGUGAAGAAGGAUAGAGGUAGUAACUGGCCUUUAUUUGACGGUAAUCAACCAGAAAGUCACGGCUAACUACGUGCCAGCAGCCGCGGUAAUACGUAGGUGGCAAGCGUUGUCCGGAUUUAUUGGGCGUAAAGCGAGCGCAGGCGGAAGAAUAAGUCUGAUGUGAAAGCCCUCGGCUUAACCGAGGAACUGCAUCGGAAACUGUUUUUCUUGAGUGCAGAAGAGGAGAGUGGAACUCCAUGUGUAGCGGUGGAAUGCGUAGAUAUAUGGAAGAACACCAGUGGCGAAGGCGGCUCUCUGGUCUGCAACUGACGCUGAGGCUCGAAAGCAUGGGUAGCGAACAGGAUUAGAUACCCUGGUAGUCCAUGCCGUAAACGAUGAGUGCUAAGUGUUGGGAGGUUUCCGCCUCUCAGUGCUGCAGCUAACGCAUUAAGCACUCCGCCUGGGGAGUACGACCGCAAGGUUGAAACUCAAAGGAAUUGACGG